rnacentral:rRNA from 1 species
CUGGCUUGGGAUAAGAUGACUAAGCCUAAAGGUGAGGGUGGGAUGGGAUUCUGGGACCUCAGAUUAUUUAACCAUGCUCUGCUAGCGAAGCAGGCUUGGAGGUUGGUGGUUCAUCCUGAAUCUAUGUGCGCUAAAGUGAUUAAGGCAAAAUAUUAUCCCCAGGGACAUAUCCUUGAUAUGGUUUUCCCCUAGUCAGCUUCUCUUACGUGGCAAGGUAUUCUGGAUGGAUUGGAUCUGCUUAAAUCCGGAGUCAAUUGGAGAGUGUGUGAUGGGACUAAUAUUAAUAUCUAGAGAGAUAACUGGCUCCCAAGAUCUUCUGGACUUAAAAUUACUGCCAGAAAGAACAGGACAAGAGUCAAAUGGGUAUCAGACUUGAUGUUGAGCGAUCCUAGGAGGUGGGAUGAAAAUAUAGUUAAGCAUUUGUUUUAUCCAUAUGAUGCGGAGGAGAUUUUGAGGUUGCGUAUGCAAUCAAAUGGGGAGGGUGAUUUUGUUGCUCGGCAUUUUCAAAAAAAUGGGAUGUUCUCAGUUAAAAGUGCGUACAAGCUUGCGCUUACUUUGAAGGAUAAAAAAGAGGAUGAGGGUCAAUGUAGUGAGGCUGUAUUGGGGGAGAGGAAAAUCUGGGAUGUCAUCUGGAAGGCUAAUGUCCCUCAGAAGAUUCGCAUUUUUGCGUGGAGGGUUGUAACUAAUAGCUUGGCUGUCCAGGUUAAUAGAGUGCUGCAUCACCAAACUUCCGUUACAAUGUGCACUAUUUGUGGAAUGGAGGAUGAAAGUACUUUUCAUGAGCUUCUUAGGUGUCCGAAGGCGGUUGCGUUGCGGAUGGCCAUGAGGGACAUUUGGGAGUUACCUAUGGAGAAUGUCUUCAGAUAUACAGGGUAUGAUUGGUUUAUUGUUCUUCUAAGUCAAUUGAGGCCUGUCAUGCACGACCAAAUUAUUUUCAUUUUCUGGAAAGCAUGGCACUUGAGAAAUGACUUGAUAUUUGGUAAAGGAAAGGAAUCAGUAGCAGCUUAUGCUAGCUUUGUGGAGAAUUAUUGGGCGUCUUAUGCCGCAUGUCACUCAGUGCCUCCAGUAGAUUCGAAUAUUAAAGGAAAAGGUCCAAUGGAUGGAUUAAGAUGGGCACAUGAUAAUGUGGGAGCUAAGGCGGAUUGGAUUCCCCCACUGAUACAUCUCCAACGUAUCUAUAAUUUUUGA